CCUACGGGUGGCUGCAGUGGGGAAUAUUGCACAAUGGGCGCAAGCCUGAUGCAGCCAUGCCGCGUGUGUGAAGAAGGCCUUCGGGUUGUAAAGCACUUUCAGCGGGGAGGAAGGCGUUAAGGUUAAUAACCUUGGCGAUUGACGUUACCCGCAGAAGAAGCACCGGCUAACUCCGUGCCAGCAGCCGCGGUAAUACGGAGGGUGCAAGCGUUAAUCGGAAUUACUGGGCGUAAAGCGCACGCAGGCGGACUGUCAAGUCGGAUGUGAAAUCCCCGGGCUCAACCUGGGAACUGCAUUCGAAACUGGCAGGCUAGAGUCUUGUAGAGGGGGUAGAAUUCCAGGUGUAGCGGUGAAAUGCGUAGAGAUCUGGAGGAAUACCGGUGGCGAAGGCGGCCCCCUGGACAAAGACUGACGCUCAGGUGCGAAAGCGUGGGGAGCAAACAGGAUUAGAUACCCUAGUAGUC
rnacentral:rRNA from 1 species